rnacentral:rRNA from 1 species
AAAAAAGGUGGUAAUGCCGGAUGCUCCAGUUGAUCGCAUGGUCUUCUGGGAAAGCUUUCGCGGUAUGGGAUGGGGUCGCGUCCUAUCAGCUUGACGGCGGGGUAACGGCCCACCGUGGCUUCGACGGGUAGCCGGCCUGAGAGGGCGACCGGCCACAUUGGGACUGAGAUACGGCCCAGACUCCUACGGGAGGCAGCAGUGGGGAAUAUUGCACAAUGGGCGCAAGCCUGAUGCAGCGACGCCGCGUGAGGGAUGGAGGCCUUCGGGUUGUAAACCUCUUUUAUCGGGGAGCAAGCGAGAGUGAGUUUACCCGUUGAAUAAGCACCGGCUAACUACGUGCCAGCAGCCGCGGUAAUACGUAGGGUGCAAGCGUUAUCCGGAAUUAUUGGGCGUAAAGGGCUCGUAGGCGGUUCGUCGCGUCCGGUGUGAAAGUCCAUCGCUUAACGGUGGAUCCGCGCCGGGUACGGGCGGGCUUGAGUGCGGUAGGGGAGACUGGAAUUCCCGGUGUAACGGUGGAAUGUGUAGAUAUCGGGAAGAACACCAAC